UACAGAGGGGGCAAGCGUUGUUCGGAAUUACUGGGCGUAAAGGGCUCGUAGGUGGCCAACUAAGUCAGACGUGAAAUCCCUCGGCUUAACCGGGGAACUGCGUCUGAUACUGGAUGGCUUGAGAUUGGGAGAGGGAUGCGGAAUUCCAGGUGUAGCGGUGAAAUGCGUAGAUAUCUGGAGGAACACCGGUGGCGAAGGCGGGUCUCUGGGCCGAUACUGACGCUGAGGAGCGAAAGCGUGGGGAGCGAACAGG
rnacentral:rRNA from 1 species